rnacentral:lncRNA from 1 species
GUGUGAUAGGGCUUCCCCGUGGUGGGAACUCCAGGCCUUUUGCUCUAGGCUGAAGAUGUGAAGCAUGCCACUAGAAAGCUCAAAACUGAUGUAAUUCAGGCCUGGAGCAUCUUGUGAGAGUGGCUGCGCUGAAUUCCUUCCUACCAGGAUUUCUCUAAAGCACUCAGGAAUCCCAGAACUGCAGUGGUUGGAAGGGACUUCUGAAGAUCAUAGAGUCCAACCUCCUGUUCGAGCAGCUUCCAUAAAGCAAGUCACACAGGAAAGCAUCCAGGGCAGACAUACAUCUCCUCUCCCUUCGCUGCAUGGCUCACCAGCUGCGUGCCAAAACUUCCAAGGGAAAUACUCAGAAGAUGAAAACUCCUCAGCAGCAAAGCACCAAUUUCGCGUCAGGCAGUGUGUCAGCAAGAUGAGAGAAAACAACCCUUUAACCUCUUUAAGACCCCAAUGCCUGCUAGGCGUUCAGCUCAGCACUUCAGGCACGGCUUGUGUUUGUGGACACCAAGGUCAUGUUUUUAAAGACAGGCAUUCAAAUGGCACACAAAAAAUAUGCAGGCAGGGGUGCAAAGGGGGUAAUUGCGCGUACGAAACAUGCAGUUGCAAACACCCACCGGGUAAUUGUGUGCUCACAAGCAUUCAGCUGCACCUGCAGUUUCCUGGUUUCCCUUUUAGAACGACGUCUCUGUGCCCAGGCAUGCCUGCUUGGCGUGUUUCAUUUCUGCACUUGAAACCGUGGCCCAAAGCACCGCGUUGCUGUUUAGCACAGGUUUGAGCCGCUGAUUUCAAAGCUGCUCUAAUUAGUAACUUGCAGUUAGUGUACUCUACCAAUUCUCAGCCCACUGGGAU